GAUAAUGCAUAUUCCAAGUUCUGAGAAAGGUUUGAGUCCUAGGUUAGUGGCAUGAAAGCACAGCCCUGGGAGCCAUGGAGCAGCCAGUGCUCUGCCCACAUGUAACCCUUUGGGACCUCCACUUCAAUUCCCCCAAAGAGGAAAGAAAAGGAAAGAAGAACAAAGAUGUCUGAAGCACCGACAUCAGGCACUCGCCCAGCUGCCAUGGCCCCCCAAGUUGAAGAUCAUAUAACCUCUGCCUGCCCAAAUGAACCAAGCAUACAACCACAGGGGGAACCUAACUGUUCCAGUGGAAGAGCGGGGACCAAUUUAAGAGGUGGACACCAUGUGGCAGAAUCCAGGAUCCGAUCAUAUUGAGACCUGGGGUCACCCCGUGGCAGGAUCCAGUUGGAUCAUGCCUCCUGGCAUCACCUAUUGCAAGAUCCAAUCAGGAAAAGCACAGUACAGGGGACUUUGGAAGCAUAUGGCAGACCUAUCUAAUCCAGUGGAAAGAGACUUGAAAAAUCCUGGAAAGGGAGAUACAAACAGAAUCUUAAAAGUAUGA
rnacentral:lncRNA from 13 species